AGCUCAAGGGAGUUUCUUGAAGCAAAAAAAAAAAACCAUUCAGGAAAUAAUUCUUUGCUGAUAAGGAUGCUCCUUGAACGUUUAUUAAUAAUCUUGUGGAUGCAGCUGACAUGGGUCAGUGGUCAACAGCUGAAUCAGAGUCCUCAUUCAUUGUCUGUCCAGGAAAGAGAGGAUGUCUCCAUGAACUGCACUUCUUCAAGCACAUUUAACACCUUUCUAUGGUACAAGCAGGACCCUGGGGAAGGUCCUGUCCUCUUGAUGGCCUUAUUUAAGCCUGGUGAAUUGACCUCAAAUGGGAGACUGUCUGCUCAGUUUGGUAUAACCAGAAAGGACAGCUUCCUGAAUAUCUCAGCGUCCGUGCCUAGUGAUGUAGGCACCUACUUCUGUGCCGGGCAACACAGUGCUCCCCAAGCACCUGCAGCCUGUACUCAAACUUGCAGCUGGAACUCCAGUCUCUAUGCUGCCUUCAGCUCUUAG